AUGAACGCUGGCGGCGUGCCUCAUCCAUGCCAGUCGCGCGAACAGACGAGGAGCUUGCUCCUCUGACGUUAGCGGCGGACGGGUGAGUAACACGUGGAUAACCUACCUAUAAGACUGGGAUAACUUCGGGAAACCGGAGCUAAUACCGGAUAAUAUAUUGAACCGCAUGGUUCAAUAGUGAAAGACGGUUUUGCUGUCACUUAUAGAUGGAUCCGCGCCGCAUUAGCUAGUUGGUAAGGUAACGGCUUACCAAGGCAACGAUGCGUAGCCGACCUGAGAGGGUGAUCGGCCACACUGGAACUGAGACACGGUCCAGACUCCUACGGGAGGCAGCAGUAGGGAAUCUUCCGCAAUGGGCGAAAGCCUGACGGAGCAACGCCGCGUGAGUGAUGAAGGUCUUCGGAUCGUAAAACUCUGUUAUUAGGGAAGAACAAAUGUGUAAGUAACUAUGCACGUCUUGACGGUACCUAAUCAGAAAGCCACGGCUAACUACGUG
rnacentral:rRNA from 1 species